rnacentral:lncRNA from 1 species
CUUUAUCUCACCUACCUGAACAGAAGGUGCCCAUAUGCAUGGUCCUGUCAGUACCUUGCUUAAGUUUCCUCACUAAAAUACAUCACCAGCUCUCGACCAACCAAGAAUACCUUCAAUUGCGCAAGGAGAUCGAAAACUGCCCUGCCAAAUACCCUGACUUCAAGCUCACUGACAAAUUAAUUUGACACAAAAGUCGAAUUUGG